CCUAACGGUUAAUACCCGUUAGCGAUGACAUUAGCUGCAGAAUAAGCACCGGCUAACUCUGUGCCAGCAGCCGCGGUAAUACAGAGGGUGCAAGCGUUAAUCGGAAUUACUGGGCGUAAAGCGAGCGUAGGUGGCUUGAUAAGUCAGAUGUGAAAUCCCCGGGCUUAACCUGGGAACUGCAUCUGAAACUGUUAGGCUAGAGUAGGUGAGAGGGAAGUAGAAUUUCAGGUGUAGCGGUGAAAUGCGUAGAGAUCUGAAGGAAUACCGAUGGCGAAGGCAGCUUCCUGGCAUCAUACUGACACUGAGGCUCGAAAGCGUGGGUAGCAAACAGGAUUAGAUACCCUGGUAGUCCACGCCGUAAACGAUGUC
rnacentral:rRNA from 1 species